rnacentral:pre_miRNA from 1 species
UCAGCUGUUUCGAUGCCUUCUUGUAAGCUGUGUAAGAAAGCAUUGGAAAAGCUGAAC